rnacentral:rRNA from 1 species
AGUUUGAUCCUGGCUCAGGAUGAACGCUAGCGGCAGGCUUAAUACAUGCAAGUCGAGGGGCAGCAGGAGUGUAGCAAUACACUUGCUGGCGACCGGCAAACGGGUGCGGAACACGUACGCAACUUACCCAUAACUGGGGGAUAGCCCGGGGAAACCCGGAUUAAUACCUCGUAACACCAUGAAGUGGCAUCGCUUUAUGGUUAUAGCUCCGGCGGUUAUGGAUGGGCGUGCGCCUGAUUAGGUAGUUGGCGGGGUAACGGCCCACCAAGCCUGCGAUCAGUAACUGGUGUGAGAGCACGACCAGUCACACGGGCACUGAGACACGGGCCCGACUCCUACGGGAGGCAGCAGUAAGGAAUAUUGGUCAAUGGACGCAAGUCUGAACCAGCCAUGCCGCGUGAAGGAUGAAGGUCCUCUGGAUUGUAAACUUCUUUUAUAUGGGACGAAACCCGGGCAUUCCUGCCCGAUUGACGGUACCAUAGGAAUAAGCACCGGCUAACUCCGUGCCAGCAGCCGCGGUAAUACGGAGGGUGCAAGCGUUAUCCGGAUUCACUGGGUUUAAAGGGU